rnacentral:rRNA from 1 species
AUUGAACGCUGGCGGCAUGCCUUACACAUGCAAGUCGAACGGUAACAGGUCUUCGGAUGCUGACGAGUGGCGAACGGGUGAGUAAUACAUCGGAACGUGCCUAGUAGUGGGGGAUAACUACUCGAAAGAGUGGCUAAUACCGCAUGAGAUCUACGGAUGAAAGCAGGGGAUCGCAAGACCUGGUGCUACUAGAGCGGCCGAUGGCAGAGUAGGUAGUUGGUGGGAUAAAAGCUUACCAAGCCGACGAUCUGUAGCUGGUCUGAGAGGGCGAUCAGCCACACUGGGACUGAGACACGGCCCAGACUCCUACGGGAGGCAGCAGUGGGGAAUUUUGGACAAUGGGCGAAAGCCUGAUCCAGCAAUGCCGCGUGCAGGAUGAAGGCCUUCGGGUUGUAAACUGCUUUUGUACGGAACGAAAAGCCCCGGGUUAAUACCCUGGGGUCAUGACGGUACCGUAAGAAUAAGCACCGGCUAACUACGUGCCAGCAGCCGCCGUAA